rnacentral:rRNA from 1 species
CUGAAAUUCGCCUGCAUGAAGCCGGAAUUGCUAGUAAUGGCAGGUCAGCAUACUGCCGUGAAUACGUUCCCGGACCUUGUACACACCGCCCGUCACACCAUGAGAGUUGGGAAUACCCGAAGCCUGUGAGCUAACUUAUAGAGGCAGCAGUCGAAGGUAGAAUCAAUGAUUGGGGUGAAGUCGUAACAAGGUAAC